rnacentral:rRNA from 1 species
UGGGGAAUAUUGGACAAUGGGGGCAACCCUGAUCCAGCCAUGCCGCGUGUGUGAAGAAGGCCUUUUGGUUGUAAAGCACUUUAAGCAGGGAGGAGAGGCUAAAUGGUUAAUACCCAUUAGAUUAGACGUUACCUGCAGAAUAAGCACCGGCUAACUCUGUGCAGCAGCCGCGGUAAUACAGAGGGUGCGAGCGUUAAUCGGAAUUACUGGGCGUAAAGCGAGUGUAGGUGGCUCAUUAAGUCACAUGUGAAAUCCCCGGGCUUAACCUGGGAACUGCAUGUGAUACUGGUGGUGCUAGAAUAUGUGAGAGGGAAGUAGAAUUCCCAGGUGUAGCGGUGAAAUGCGUAGAGAUCUGGAGGAAUACCGAUGGCGAAGGCAGCUUCCUGGCAUAAUAUUGACACUGAGAUUCGAAAGCGUGGGUAGCAAAACAGGAUUAGAUACCCUGGUAGUCCACGCCGUAAACGAUGUCUACUAGCCGUUGGGGUCCUUGAGACUUUAGUGGCGCAGUU